rnacentral:misc_RNA from 1 species
GAUGAAGAACGUAGCGAAAUGCGAUACGUAAUGUGAAUUGCAGAAUUCAGUGAAUCAUCGAAUCUUUGAACGCAUAUUGCGCUCUUUGGUAUUCCGAAGAGCAUGCUUGUUUGAGUAUCAGUAAACACCUCAACCUCUUCUUGAUUUUUCAAAAGGAGGGUGGACUUGAGCUAUCCCAACAACCUUUACCGGUCGGCGGGCGGCUUGAAAUGCAGGUGCAGCUGGACUUUUAUCUGAGCUAAAAGCAUAUCUAUUUAGUCCUCGUCAAACAGGAUUAUUACUUUUGCUGCAGCUAACAUAAAGGAUAAUUGUCCUCUUUGCUGACUGAUGCAGGAUUUUACGACACUUUAUGUGUUGUUCAACUCGAUCUCAAAUCAAGUAAGACUACCCGCUGAACUUAAGCAUAUUAAUAAGCGGAGGA